rnacentral:rRNA from 1 species
AUUUGAAAUCUGGCACCUUCGGUGUCCGAGUUGUAAUUUGAAGAAGGUAACUUUGGAGUUGGCUCUUGUCUAUGUUCCUUGGAACAGGACGUCACAGAGGGUGAGAAUCCCGUGCGAUGAGAUGUCCAACUCUAUGUAAAGUGCUUUCGAAGAGUCGAGUUGUUUGGGAAUGCAGCUCUAAGUGGGUGGUAAAUUCCAUCUAAAGCUAAAUAUUGGCGAGAGACCGAUAGCGAACAAGUACAGUGAUGGAAAGAUGAAAAGAACUUUGAAAAGAGAGUGAAAAAGUACGUGAAAUUGUUGAAAGGGAAGGGUUUGAGAUCAGACUUGGUAUUUUGUAUGUCUUGCUUUCGGGUGGGGCCUCUGCAGUUUACUGGGCCAGCAUCGGUUUGGACGGUAGGAUAAUGACAUUGGAAUGUGGCACUACUUCGGUGGUGUGUUAUAGACUUUGUUGA